rnacentral:rRNA from 1 species
CCUACGGGAGGCAGCAGUAGGGAAUCUUCCACAAUGGGCGCAAGCCUGAUGGAGCAACACCGCGUGAGUGAAGAAGGGUUUCGGCUCGUAAAGCUCUGUUGUUGGAGAAGAACGUGCGUGAGAGUAACUGUUCACGCAGUGACGGUAUCCAACCAGAAAGUCACGGCUAACUACGUGCCAGCAGCCGCUGUAAUACGUAGGUGGCAAGCGUUAUCCGGAUUUAUUGGGCGUAAAGCGAGCGCAGGCGGUUGCUUAGGUCUGAUGUGAAAGCCUUCGGCUUAACCGAAGAAGUGCAUCGGAAACCGGGCAACUUGAGUGCAGAAGAGGACAGUGGAACUCCAUGUGUAGCGGUGGAAUGCGUAGAUAUAUGGAAGAACACCAGUGGCGAAGGCGGCUGUCUGGUCUGCAACUGACGCUGAGGCUCGAAAGCAUGGGUAGCAAACAGGAUUAGAUACCCGGGUAGUC